GAUUGUUCUUUCUCAUCCGGUGCCUGUGCACACAGGGUAAAAGGGAAUUGCGUGAAAAUCGCAAACUGUACCCGCAACUGUCAGUACCUUGACCGAUCAUCCGCUUCACAGAUCGGUCGCCAAUCCAGAGAGAAUGUCACUGCGUCAUUAUACUGUCCGCCCUGGACAACGUGGGAAGACAUUGGUCUCAUGCUAUCGGUACAAGUCAGGAAACCUGCCGGAUGAUUAUCGCUACA
rnacentral:ncRNA from 2 species